GCGGGCGUGGCGGAAUUGGUAGACGCGCCAGAUUUAGGUUCUGGUGCCGAGAGGCGUGGGGGUUCAAGUCCCUCCGCCCGCA
rfam:Rhizobiales bacterium TMED29 21155, whole genome shotgun sequence.